GAUGAACGCUGGCGGCGUGCCUAAGACAUGCAAGUCGAGCGGUAAGGUUCUCACUCUGUAUUUAACUAGAUUGAAUAUAGUGUGAGAAUACACGAGCGGCGGACGGGUGAGUAACACGUAGGAAUGUACCCCAAACUGAGGGAUAAGCAUCAGAAAUGGUGUCUAAUACCGCAUGUGAUCUUCGGAUUAAAGCUUCGGCGGUUUGGGAACGGCCUGCGCAUGAUUAGCUUGUUGGUGAGGUAAUAGCUCACCAAGGCGAUGAUCAGUAGCCGGCCUGAGAGGGCGGACGGCCACACUGGGACUGAGACACGGCCCAGACUCCUACGGGAGGCAGCAGUGGGGAAUUGUUCGCAAUGGGCGCAAGCCUGACGACGCAACGCCGCGUGGAGGAUGAAGGUCUUCGGAUUGUAAACUCCUGUUGACCGGGAAGAA
rnacentral:rRNA from 1 species